UUCAAGGUCCCCGCCCCAUUGCCAUCCCUACUUCCUCCUCAACUUUCCCCACUCGGUUUUUAUGAUUUUCUUUUUCUUAGAUUCAGCCGUUAACCUCAAUCAAUUUCAUCACAAAAACACUUCAAAUUUCUUAGGAACCCUAAUUUGUAGAUAAACUGGAAUUGAACCCAAAUCUAAAUCACAGAGAGAGAACGAGAGUGGAAUUUUUUUUUCUCUUUUCAACAGUAAGGUCUCUCUGUACAUCUUCUACUUUGAACAGAGAGAUACACCGAUUUAGUUUGAAAUGGGGAAAGUGGUGGUGGGUUGAUGCAUGUCAAAGACGAUCGUAGAGAAGAUUAAAUCAUCAAAAGAAGAAGAGAAUCAUCAUAAACAGUAUUUUGGGUUUAGCAUAGCAUUUAUAAGAAGAAAAAACCACUGAAUCCCCACAAACAAUGAAUCCCAACUACACAUUAGAGUAUCCGAAUUUCCGAUUAAAAUCUUCUUUGGGGCGGGUUGAAGGACUUGUGAAAGCUAUAGGAGGAACAAUGGGAUAAUUGGGUCUAGCAUUCAUAAGAGUGAUUGAUGAUGCGAAGAUGAUUGCUGUCAGAAUAUGAAAGAAUCAAGUUAUUGCAGACCGUUGCAGCGAAGGAAAGCUAUUGCUGACGAGGUCGGAUGUAGCUUCAAGGCUGUCGGAUGAUGCACAAGGAACAAACAUCUAUUCCGGUUGGACAACUUGCGAAAGGAGGUAGAAAUUUAUGAAAAAUGUUUAAAGAAAUAGAAUCAAUUGAUUACGAAUCACUAGGUAGGUUUUAAACCUCCUGUGGUUGAAGGGAUACAGAGAUUCUAGAGAAGAAAUAAGAAAAGAUUCAUGAUUUCGAGCUACAGGCUGAAGGAUUUAUGAAAGCUCAGCAAGAUAUGGAAUAGUAUGAAAGAAUUAAGGGACAGCCCCACCAACCUCUCUAUUCCAAGAAGUGCAAUAUUGAAAAGUCUAUUUUAUAAGCCUACUUUUCUCUUCUUGGUGCUAGUGUGUCGUAUUCAAGAUAUAUCCACCGGAUUCUCUUCGAAGGGGUACCUUACCAUUUGAUGUUAAUUAGAUGCAUGCCAUGUUUCCUGACAUAUGUAUGCUAAUAUAUGAAGUGACUUACAUAAGUGGAUCUUAAGUUUUUGAAAGGCCGGCAUCCUUUACUGGAAGAUGUAGAUGUUACGAUCAAUCCAUCAGAAGGUUUAUCUCUUAUUGAAGGUAUAUCAUAUGAUGAACAAAGGAGCUAGGGCACCUGGAAGUUAAAUAUGUUCUGAUUUUUUUUUCCUUCUUCUUUGUUGUUUGGAACAUGAAACAACUUCAGUUGUUGAAUUUGAGUUGUUUGGUUUCUCAGGUUGUAAUUUUUCUUUUGAAGCAUUGCUUGUAAUUGAAUUUAAGUUAAUUUUUAUAAAAUGUUUUGAAUUUGUUAA